rnacentral:lncRNA from 1 species
ACGUGACGCCGAUUGGACGGGCGCCUCCCGCCUUCCCUCGGCCGCCUGAGGUGCCACGGCGAGCUCUGAGGCGAGGAGACGCGACGCCGGGCGGCAACGGCGGCGGGUCCCGGAGCUCCGCACGGAGGCCGCCUCCAGCCGGCAGGUGUUUGUUUUGUCCAGCUGUUUUAAAAUUAAUUCAAAAUGCCAAUUAGACCAGAUCUCCAGGUAUGUAGUCCUAGAACAAAAGGAAGUAUUUUAAUUCCUAAAAU